rnacentral:lncRNA from 1 species
GCCGAGGCCAUCGUGUUUCUCCUGCCGGCAGCCUCUGCGCGCGCGUGAUCUCACGCCACAGCAGCGCGCUCAGCUACUGGAACGACGAGAUCUCCGCCUUCGCCGUCACUGAGAAACCGGCAAGCACCGCCGCCGCGGCUCUCUCUCCGCUCACCACCAGAUUCGCCUCUCUUUUCUCCCUCGAAGCUCCUCCCUCACAAUUUUAGAUCUCCCUGCGUCUGGACGUCCGCCGCCUCCACAGCUCCGUCGUUGCUGCUAUCUCCGGAGUCGCGGCCUGGAGUUGCUGCUGCUCGUUCGGUGGUCAGCGGCUCGUUGGAGGAGCGCUGCUGUUGGCCGCUGCUGGUGGUCAGCCUUCUCCCUAUCUCUCCCUCUCGAUCCGGCCUCAGCCGAAGCGGGUGCCGCCGCCGCUGCCGUCCGUGGAAGACCGGCGAGCGCCUCCUCUUCCUUCCAAGGUCGAUCUCUCAUCUGA